CAGAAUAACGGAGCCCUCUGGGCACCUCUGACCUCCUCUUCUGGGGAUUCUUCCCACCCCUAGCAGUGCGAUCCAGGCUGGACACCCCGAACUUCAAACAUCCGAGCCCGCGCUGCCGCCAGGUGCAAGGCAACUGUGAUCAAACAAUUUGGAGAUGACUAAAUGAUGAUGAAGUCAGAAUUCUCUGGCUCACCUAAGUGACUCUUCAGACUGGAGUGGGAGACAAUGGGCACCCCAGGGCCUCCAGUUGCUGCAAACAUAUUCAAGAUGCA